UACGGAGGGUGCUAGCGUUGUUCGGAAUCACUGGGCUUAAAGGGCGUGUAGGCGGCCAACUAAGUCCGACGUGAAAUCCCCAGGCUUAACCUGGGAACUGCGUCGGAUACUGGAUGGCUUGAAUCCGGGAGAGGGAUGCAGAAUUCCAGGUGUAGCGGUGAAAUGCGUAGAUAUCUGGAGGAAUACCGGUGGCGAAGGCGGCAUCCUGGACCGGCAUUGACGCUGAAGCGCGAAAGCUAGGGGAGCAAACGGG
rnacentral:rRNA from 1 species